rnacentral:rRNA from 1 species
GACGAACGCUGGCGGCGUGCCUAAUACAUGCAAGUAGAAUGCACAGUUUAUACCGUAGCUUGCUACACCAUAGACUGUGAGUUGCGAACGGGUGAGUAACGCGUAGGUAACCUGCCUGGUAGCGGGGGAUAACUAUUGGAAACGAUAGCUAAUACCGCAUAAUAUUAAUUAUUGCAUGAUAAUUAAUUGAAAGGUGCAAUUGCACCACUACCAGAUGGACCUGCGUUGUAUUAGCUAGUAGGUGAGGUAACGGCUCACCUAGGCGACGAUACAUAGCCGACCUGAGAGGGUGAUCGGCCACACUGGGACUGAGACACGGCCCAGACUCCUACAGGAGGCAGCAGUAGGGAAUCUUCGGCAAUGGACGAAAGUCUGACCGAGCAACGCCGCGUGAGUGAAGAAGGUUUUCGGAUCGUAAAGCUCUGUUGUAAGAGAAGAACGGGUGUGAGAGUGGAAAGUUCACACUGUGACGGUAUCUUACCAGAAAGGGACGGCUAACUACGUG